CAGCACCUCAAGUGGUCAGGAUGAUUAUUGGGCCUAAAGCAUCCGUAGCCGGCGCUGUAAGUUUUCGGUUAAAUCUGUACGCUCAACGUACAGGCUGCUGGGAAUACUGCAGCGCUAGGGAGUGGGAGAGGUAGACGGUACUCGGUAGGAAGGGGUAAAAUCCUUUGAUCUAUUGAUGACCACCUGUGGCGAAGGCGGUCUACCAGAACACGUCCGACGGUGAGGGAUGAAAGCUGGGGGAGCAAACCGGAUUAGAUACCCGCGUAGUCC
rnacentral:rRNA from 1 species